rnacentral:rRNA from 1 species
AGAGUUUGAUCAUGGCUCAGGAUGAACGCUGGCGGCGUGCCUAAUACAUGCAAGUCGUACGGAAAGGCCUCUUCGGAGGUACUCGAGUGGCGGACGGCUGAGUAACGCGUAGGAAUGUACCCCAAAGUGAGGGAUAACCUCGGGAAACCGAGGCUAAUACCGCAUGUGCUCUAAGGAGUAAAGCUCCGGCGCUUUGGGAACAGCCUGCGUCUGAUUAGCUUGUUGGUGAGGUAAUGGCUCACCAAGGCGACGAUCGGUAGCUGGUCUGAGAGGAUGAUCAGCCAGACUGGGACUGAGACACGGCCCAGACUCCUACGGGAGGCAGCAGUAGGGAAUUUUCCACAAUGGGCGAAAGCCUGAUGGAGCAACGCCGCGUGCAGGAUGAAGGCCUUCGGGUUGUAAACUGCUUUUAUAAGUGAAGAUUAUGACGGUAACUUAUGAAUAAGGAUCGGCUAACUCCGUGCCAGCAGCCGCGGUCAUACGGAGGAUCCAAGCGUUAUCCGGAAUUACUGGGCGUAAAGAGUUGCGUAGGCGGUUAAGUAAGAGAAUAGUGAAACUGUGUGGCUCAACCAUGCACCCAUUGUCCAAACUGCUUUGACUAGAGAAUGGAAGAGGUUGCUAGAAUUCCUAGUGUAGGGGUGAAAUCCGUAGAUAUUAGGAGGAAUACCAAUGGCGUAGGCAGGCAACUGGUCCAUUUCUGACGCUAAGGCACGAAAGCGUGGGGAGCGAUCGGGAUUAGAUACCCCGGUAGUCCACGCCGUAAACGAUGGAUGCUAGUUGUUCGGAGUAUCGACCCUCUGAGUAACGAAGCUAACGCGUUAAGCAUCCCGCCUGUGGAGUACGAGCGCAAGCUUAAAACUCAAAGGAAUUGACGG